GCCGAAGCUCCGCUCCCGACAGGGGAAACGUAAAGAAGAGUUUGUGUCAAUGAGAAUGUGAUGCUGGGUGAAAAUUCAGCACAAAGCAAGCAGAAUGGGAGGAAGUGGAGAUUGAAGAAAGGCAGCUGGAAGCACAGCUGGGCCACAUCAUCCCUGUUGGUGCUACAAUCCUCAAAAGAGUUUUAGA